rnacentral:rRNA from 1 species
UACGAAGGGGGCUAGCGUUGCUCGGAAUUACUGGGCGUAAAGCGCACGUAGGCGGCUUCUUAAGUCAGGGGUGAAAUCCCAAGGCUCAACCUUGGAACUGCCUUUGAUACUGGAAAUCUUGAGUCCGGGAGAGGUGAGUGGAACUGCGAGUGUAGAGGUGAAAUUCGUAGAUAUUCGCAAGAACACCAGUGGCGAAGGCGGCUCACUGGCCCGGUACUGACGCUGAGGUGCGAAAGCGUGGGGAGCAAACAGG